CCUACGGGAGGCAGCAGUGAGGAAUAUUGGUCAAUGGGCGCAAGCCUGAACCAGCCAUGCCGCGUGCAGGAAGACGGCCCUAUGGGUUGUAAACUGCUUUUGUAUGGGAGCAAUAANGUCUAUGCGUAGACUGAUGAGAGUACCNUACGAAUAAGNAUCUGCUAACUCCGUGCCAGC
rnacentral:rRNA from 1 species